rnacentral:rRNA from 1 species
GAGGAUCUAAAAGAACGCCCCGUUGUGUGAAAUGGCCAAUUCCCAAACCGUGUCUAAUAGCCUUUGUUGCUUUGGCAGGUCGCCUUCUAGGCGUCGGCUCCGGCUACUGCGCCUGCCAGAGGACCCAAGCUCGUUUUGUUUAGUGUCGUCUGAGACUAUAUAAUAGUUAAAACUUUCAACAACGGAUCUCUUGGUUCUGGCAUGAUGAAGAACGCAGCGAAAUGCGAUAAGUAAUGUGAAUUGCAGAAUUCAUGAAUCAUCGAAUCUUUGAACGCACAUUGCGCCCCUUGGUAUUCCGAGGGCAUGCCUGUUCGAGCGUCAUUAUAACCACUCAAGCCUCGGCUUGGUAUGGGGUUCGCGGUUUCGCGGCCCUUAAAAUCAGUGGCGGUGCCGUCUGGCCUAAGCGUAGUAAUUCUCUCGCUAUAGGGUCCAGGUGGUUACUUGUCAGAUCCCCCACUUUUAUAGGUUGACCUCGGAUCAGGCAGGGAUACCCGCUGACUUAAGCAUAUCAAUAAGCGGAGGA